CUACAUAGUCUUUUCUUUUUUCUUUUCCCAGAAGUUUAUCUGAAAUUAUUUCAUUUAAAUAUUUGAUUGGAACAACAAAGUAAUUUGAUUAUUUAUGCUAAAGUGAAAACUCAUUUUUUGGGCACAACAAUAAUUUAUAAACUCAAAUGAUACUGGUGGGAUUUGCAGUCACUGGAACUUCGUUUUUCUUAUGAUUAGUUUCUACCGAUAAGGAGAAGAAGUUGCAUAGUCUCACGAUCUCCAAUCAACUCUUUUGAAGGCGAACAUGUUUUGCUUGAAGUGAAGGAUUAGGAUGGUAAUGGGAUGGAUAUUGUUACUCUGCUUCACUAUUGUUACUUUACUUGAUGCAUUCAUCUCCACCCCAUUUUGCUUUAAUUUAAUUGUUACUACUUAUUUUUAAUUUUUCAAUAGUAAAUAUUUAAACAUAAUUCUUCAAAAUAAUAUUUUAAAAUAAAAUAUAUGAUUUUUUUUAUAUUAUGUUAUUACAGUUUUACUCUUUUAAUAGUUUAUAUAUAUAUAUAAGAAUAAAACUAUAAGUGUAUAUAGUGGAGUGAAUUGGAUAAGGGCAAACAAUUACUAUAAUUACUAGUCAAAAAAAAAAAAUCCACCCUUCCCACUUACAUCCACUUUUCAAAUAAAAAUACCCACUUCAUUUAUAGUGGAUUGGUUCAAAAUUCAUAGGACGGUUUGAAUUUUGUCAUCCUUACGAAUGAUGCAUACUAACAAACUCGGCUGCAAAGCUUAAACAAGAGUUUUACUGGAGUUUAGUUGGAUACAAAAGUUCCAUUGCCAGUUCAGGCCGCUGCAUGUGGAAAUUUAAUCUCGUCUCAAUGCCAGUAAAGUGAAGGUAUUUCUUGAUUAAAAAAAAUAAAGCAGGAUUGCAAAUGCAGAUAUGUUUGUUGAGAAUGCUGCUUAUGAUUUAACUUGAAUGGAUUCAGUUUAGGGAGACAUACCAUUUAUCCUUUGAGUUUUGAAGAUAAAUGGAAGGUGUUAUCGUAUUCGGAAAUAACGUGUAAAUAUGAUAUUCCGUGAGCGGUUUAGAUUUAAUAAUUCUAAUUUUUUAUAUACCAUUUAUGACGUCGUGUUACCAUUUUUUUCAUAUCAUCAUAAAGUUUGCUUAAAA